AACGCAUAUUGCGCUCUUUGGUAUUCCGAAGAGCAUGCUUGUUUGAGUAUCAGUAAACACCUCAAAGCUUUUGAUUUUUUUUUGAAAGCUUUGGACUUGAGCAAUCCCAACACCAGUCUUUUUUAGAUCGGAGGCGGGUUGCUUGAAAUGCAGGUGCAGCUGGACAUUCUCCUGAGCUAAAAGCAUAUUCAUUUAGUCCCGUCAAACGGAUUAUUACUUUUGCUGCAGCUAACAUAAAGGGAGUUUGACCGUAUUGGCUGACUGAUGCAGGAUUUCACAGGGGUCGGCAACGACGCUUGUUAAACUCGAUCUCAAAUCAAGUAAGACUACCCGCUGAACUUAA
rnacentral:misc_RNA from 1 species